GGGGCCUUAGCUCAGCUGGGAGAGCACCUGCCUUGCACGCAGGGGGUCAGCGGUUCGAUCCCGCUAGGCUCCACCA
rnacentral:tRNA from 12 species